AGCCUGUUUCACAACUUCCAGAUAAACUUUAUCUAACGGAUAAAUUUGACGUUAUGGCAGGUUGCGUUUUGGGA